rnacentral:lncRNA from 1 species
UUUGAAUGGGUUGAUACUUGUGAUACUUGGAUUUGAAUGGGUCGAUAUAUUAAUGUAAUAUUAUUAGUAAAAGCUCCAUCGGAUACCAAAACGAAUUAAAAUAAACGGGUAAAAAAAGAAAAGGAAUAAACUUUGUACCGGUUAGUAAAACCAACUGGUACUAUGGUGUUACCAACCUGUACUAAAUGGUGCAUUUAGUACCGGUUGGCCUGACUGGUACUAAAUGGCAUGUCAUUUAGUAUCAACCAAGCGAUACCGGUCGAUCCUCCAGUAGCUUUACCUUCCUUUUAGAUUAUUAUUCGUGCAACCCUUUAGUGCCUGAACACGCAUAUCAUCUAUUGUUCAAUUAUAUUGCUU